ACCCCGUCCCAGAUAGCUAGCAAGGACGUCGCCCCAGCGACUCCAGAACGUCGCCCGCAGCGACGAAGGACUGCCGGACUCCAACAGCCCCGAACGGCCAGGGUUAGGUCUAGGACCGCCUGGCCCAGAACCAGCCCGAAAGCAGCCGGCAAGAGGCAGCGGAGGUGGCGCACCGGGCACGCAGCCGCGCACCCCGGGCCACCCUCAGAUCGAGCAGAUCCGGCCAGGCCCUGCUAGGCCCAGAUCUGGGCCCACAAGCCCAGAUCCGACCAAAGCAGCCGCCGGCCAGAGCACCCUGCCGUCGGGCGAGGCCACGGCAGCGCCGGCCGCCGCCCACACGGCCCCCAACGGCCGGAGCUGCGCCGGUCCGGGAGGUUGCCGGCGAGCCUCCUCGCGGCUAGGAUGGGAACCGCCCCGUCGGGCCCUCGAAACGCGCGGGGGAAGGGAGAUCCGCCGCCGCCAGCACCGCCGGGGCUUUGCCCGGCGGCUCCCGCCGGCGGCGGCGGCGGGGGAAGGAGGAGGGGGGCGGGCCUGGGGUGGAGGCGGAGGCGCCCCGGCCGCCCGACGGGGAGGGCGACGGGCCCUGGUCUCCGAUGUUAAGUCUCCUGUGCCGCCAUGCACUUCCGUCGCUGGCGGCUACAUCAUCCGGCAUCAACGACGAGACCCUCACGUUCCUCUCCAUGCUCCGCGACACUGGAUGCACGCACUGGCCGGUCAUCCUGCUGUGGUGAUGCUCCAAGUGAAUUGAUGGGAAAGAACAGAGGACGGAGCACCGUAAGCAGCAGAAAGGAGAAAUGUAGAAAAGAAGAGUACAUAGUGUCUAUUUUGCCCUCCUCAUGAUGCGGGAUGAAGUAUCCAAUCUAAUCAGAACAAAAGAGGAAGUUGCAGAGUUCAAUAUUCAGAUUUUGUCAGCUGCUUGCCUGUUUCAAGAAGUAAGUUUCUAUCUCUGUCUCAUAAAUUGUAUGCAUGAAGAAGCUAAAUAUCAGAUCACUUUCGCCAUGAGGGCAUGAGAAUAGUUACAAAAUAGUUGAUUCCUUCUGCGUAUUAAGUUGACUUCCAUGAUCAUGAAUGUACUUAAAUUUUUUAAUGUCCUCUAUUUUAAUUUAUUUAGUGAACAUACAGUGUGAUGUUCCAUGAUAAGGAAAUGCCACUCGAAAAUAAUUCAGUAUAAGUAUGAUAAUUGGAUAAGGAAAUUCUAAAUUUAGUGAAAUCUGAAUCAUUGAGUAGGCAACAAUUUGCUACUCUUUUGAGCACACUUUCUACUUCGAUAUGACCACUAAUUUGUCAUGCAGAUUGUAGUGGUGUUUGAUUUGCGGAUACAUGAAUUUCAAUAGGGACAUGGGAUAAUUUAUUAUCCACUUGUCAUAUCAAUAUCACAAGACUUUUGAAUCCUUCCAUUUUACUGUCACCAGGGCUCCUUUCAAUGAGGAGGAAAGUGUCCACUUUUCUUCCAUGCCUCAUUUAAUUGAUAAAACCAUUGUUUCGUCCAGUCUUGAUUGCAUUGUACUCUUGCUUGUAGCAAUAGUUCUCAACUUGCCCAGGUUUUUAGUCCAAAUGCUCUAAUACUUAUGUAUCAAGAACAUCCUUACCAUUGCAUGUGUAGAUGUUUGGACUUAAAACAACAGAGCUAACUGACUGAUGUUUGUUAUUAACGGUGUCUAUUGUUAUUAGAAUGAACAAUAAUCAUUUCCAGAGUAUUCUUAAAAUUAUUAAAUGUUUGUUGAACUACUUUUUAAUCGGAUAUGGUAGUCGACAACUUGAGUGGAUGGGAGGGUAGUGAUAAGCGAAAACCUAUGUUGUGCAUGAUCAAGUAGCCAGGGGGAGGGGGACAAGAUGGACGAUCUAGAAUGUGGUCUUCAAGUCAGAAUGUACAUAUUUUCUAUGCUAUCCCGGUUGAGUUAAAAAUUCCUACAUCUCAUGUGUUUGUUUAGAAAUUGUUAUUUCCUCCCAUCUUAGGUAACUGAUAUGCAUUUUUAUUUGUUAACAGUGCUCUUCAAUUUAUUUUACUAUAAUAAAGUGAAGGAAAAAAUGUUUGUGACAAAACUCCAACUAAAUAACAUGCACCUGAGGGCUGGAUGGAGAGGAUGAGGAUGCCGCGAAUGCGGGCGAGGACCAAAAUUUAUGCCGUUGGUGGUGGUAAGAGAGAGGCGGACUUCCGUGAGGAGCUGAAGGUGAUAUCCGCCCUGCAACCCCUCUCGCCGCUGUUCUCAUCCAGGCAACUUUGUUAUUUUUUGAUAGGGACUACCACAGUACACUGCAAAUUAUAUGCACACUUGCUCAGGUGGUGUUAAUAAACCUUACUUUGUCAUCGCUCAUGCUGAAAGUACCUUGGUUA